rnacentral:rRNA from 1 species
GGGCGUCGAGCGGCGGACGGGUGAGUAACGCGUGGGAAUCUGCCCUUUGGUGGGGGAUAGCGCGGGGAAACUCGGAUUAAUACCGCAUAAGCCCUUUUGGGGAAAGACGGCCUCUGUUGCAAGCUGUCGCCGAAGGAUGAGCCCGCGUCAGAUUAGUUAGUUAGUGGGGUAAAGGCCUACCAAGGCUGCGAUCUGUAGCUGGUCUGAGAGGAUGAUCAGCCACAUCGGGACUGAGACACGGCCCGAACUCCUACGGGAGGCAGCAGUGGGGAAUCUUGGACAAUGGGGGCAACCCUGAUCCAGCCAUGGCGCGUGUGUGAAGAAGGCCUUCGGGUUGUAAAGCACUUUCAGCGAGGAGGAAAAGGCAGGUGUUAAUACCACUCUGUUUUGACGGGACUCGCAGAAGAAGCACCGGCUAAUUUCGUGCCAGCAGCCGCGGUAAUACGAAAGGUGCAAGCGUUAAUCGGAAUUACUGGGCGUAAAGGGCGCGUAGGCGGCGCGUUCAGUCGGCUGUGAAAGCCCCGGGCUCAACCCGGGAAUUGCAUCCGAUACUGGCGUGCUAGAGUGCAGUAGAGGGAGGUAGAAUUCCAGGUGUAGCGGUGAAACGCGUAGAGAUCUGGAGGAAUACCAGUGGCGAAGGCGGCCUCCUGGACUGACACUGACGCUGAGGCGCGAAAGCGUGGGUA